UACGUAGGGGGCGAGCGUUGUCCGGAGUUACUGGGCGUAAAGGGCACGCAGGCGGUGCGGCGCGUUUCGCGUGACAGCGGAGGGCUUAACUCUCCGAGGAUGCGAAAGACGGCGGCACUUGAGGGCCAGAGAGGGACACGGAAUUCCGGGGUGGAGUGGUGAAAUGCGUAGAGAUCCGGAGGAACACCGAAGGCGAAGGCAGUGUCCUGGCUGGUGACUGACGCUGAGGUGCGAAAGCUAGGGGAGCGAACGGG
rnacentral:rRNA from 1 species